AGGAAAAUGAUACUUCAUGUCAUGUGCUCUAGAUAUAGGAUUAGGAAUUAUGAACUAUGAAUUACAGAAAUGAAUUUCUGCCAUUCUUGGAGUAUAAACUUAUUGUAAUCCACACACACUAUACUUUGGCAAUUUAAUCUCCUCCUUGUCCUUGUGGUUAAUGGGAAUUGCCAUAAGGCCCCAUGUUGUCCUGCCCCUACCUUUUUGAAUCCUAACCCUAAGUCCUAACCUAAAAUUAUCUCAUUUUAGAUUUAUUUUUCUCAAACCGACCGUAACAUAUAUAAAAUAAUUGAUGAAGAGUAGCAAGUUCAGAUUUUGGAGACAUCUCUACCUAUUUGAGGUUAAUAUACAUCACACCAAAAUUAAAAUACCAAAAUGAUCUUCCACUUUGCAGAAUCUAGCACUUAGAUCCAAUAUGGUGCUGGUCUAAUUUUUGCUUAGUAAAUUAGUAGCAAAAAAACUUUUUUUGGACCCCAGUGGCAAUGGAUGGAAAUAAAAGGGUCAAAAGUGUGGAAGAAUUUCAUGAGGGCCAAACCUCAUGAACUUUUAUGUAAAACUUCCAACAUCUAUAGAAAAAUUUGUUGAAAAAAUGGAUCGAGCUUAAUUCCUCCCUAAAAGGCAUGUUAUGAUGAGAGGAUUGCUAAAAUCAUAUAUGAAACGUUUUUACCUAAUACCUAGCCGAUAUGGGACUUAAAACAUCCCCUCAUAUCCAAGACUGGAAGUUAAGAGCGUGAAGUUUGCAAGACAGGACUUCUGCAGAUGGCCCAAGGUCAAGACUUUGGUUGGUGUUGAUGUUGAUAAAAUGUUGAUAAAAAUGGAUCAGGCUUAACUUCACUCCAAAGGGCACCUUAUGGGGAGAGUAUUGCCAAGUUAUAUUUGAAACAUUUUUACCCAAUACGCAGCCAGUGUGGAACUUAACAAAAACUAAGAUGAUGGAAUAGGAGUACCAAAUUCCCAAUAUGUGUUUGAUGGUAUUAGAGGUAAAUUUGGUGAUGCUUAGUAGAUAUUAAGUGUAUGCCAUUAAAUGGUUAACAUACUGAUUAUGGGUGUAUCAGUUGAUGUUUAAUUUAAUGGUUUGAUAAAUUUAGGGACAAGAACUUACUUUUGUUUCUUUUGCUUGUCACAUACCUUGUGGACCUCUUUAGGAGAGCUUUGAUGUUUGACCAUAUAUUUGGAUAGUUUUUUUGCCUUUAUUAUCAUAUUAAUAGAACAUGGCAAAUUGUUUUUCAAUACGAUCCUUUUGUUCUAUAGUUGAUUUGGCAUCCUUUUAAUCUUCUCCUAAAUAGGGAUUCCUUUUGAAAUCUGGUGAUGAUCCGUUCUCUUUUUCUUCUUUUCAUCUUUGACUUCAUUUAAGGCAGUAUGAAUUCUAGUUUCUCUGAUCUUAUAGUUUAGUUUCUGUUUAAUCAUGUUUGCUGCUAGUUCUCAACUCAUACUCUGACUAAAUUUUCUUCAGUGGUACUCACAAAUAUUUGCCUUAAUGUCUUGGACUGCUCAUUGUAUUUGAUUUUUAGAAAGUUUCAUGAUCCCUUUCUCUAUCUAGCAUUCUCCUUUCCUGUUCAAUUGGAUAGGCAUGCAUUCAAAAUGAAGGUAGGUUUGGUAAAUAAUAAAACACCAAAUUUUGUGAAAUUCUUAUCAUGCUCAUUUUGCUUUAUCUGGAUUCUAUUAAAUUUUCUGAAUUUUUAUUAUUUGCUCUGCAAUUUACCAUGCUGUGAUGUUCCAAACUCAAGCUGGGCUGGGCAGGUCCCAUUGUCUUUGUUGACCACUAACGUUGGAUUUCCUUGUCCAGUAAAUCAGAAUAUGUGAUAUACAAGCUCAAGGA
rnacentral:misc_RNA from 1 species